UACGUAGGGGGCAAGCGUUGUCCGGAAUCAUUGGGCGUAAAGCGCGUGUAGGCGGCUCGGUAAGUCCGCUCUGAAAGCCCGGGGCUCAACCCCGGGAGGCGGGUGGAUACUGCUGAGCUCGAGUCCGGAAGAGGAGUGUGGAAUUCCUGGUGUAGCGGUGAAAUGCGCAGAUAUCAGGAGGAACACCAAUGGCGAAGGCAGCACUCUGGGACGGUACUGACGCUAAGGCGCGAAAGCGUGGGGAGCGAACAGG
rnacentral:rRNA from 1 species